CAUUUGAUUUUCCUUUCUUCCUCGCGUGAGCAAGAGCAGGAAGCAGACGCUAAUGGAUCCGAAACGCUAGCAAAUCGACGAAAGAUCAAGGCGCGUGAGCGACAAUAGAUGUGAUAGCAAGUGUAACGGGAAUAUGGGGAAGAACAGGCUGGUACACUGCGCUCUUUUGUCUCUUUCAUCGCCCUCAUUCGUAUGACCUCUGCAGCGCACAAGACGACGCGGAAUCGUCCUUGGCGUGUAGGAUCGAGCCCCGUCGUUUGCCAAGGACGAGGGAUCGAUCUCAACCCUCCACCUCCCCUUAAUUCCGUUCGAAUCGCCUGGAUUUUGGAUAAGGUGGAAUUCGAAUUCCAAAUGUGCCGAAAAAUCUUGGAAUUUCCUCUCUCCCCCCACAAAAUCGAAACCCUAGUAAUUCCCCUAUAAAUACACUUGUCUUCGUCGGUUUUGGGGGAUUUUUUUUUGGGGAGAAAAAACAGUGAAAGAACUGUUUAAAGUUCAUUCUCCAGGAAAAUCAAGAAAUAGUCCUUUUUCGUUCGAAGUUCUUAAAGGGUUCUAGGAUUCAAAGUUGACUCAGACAUCUUGGUUUGUUGUUCGUGUCGGAGUUUGACGUUCACGAAAUUAUCCUUUUGGGUGUUGAAGUUCGCCAGUUCCUUACUCGUCACCGUUCCCGUUCGCUGCUCUCGAAAAGUCUCCAUGAACUUCAUUCCCAUCUCUUGCACUUCCUCGUUGAGCCGUAAAGGCUCAAACCUCAAUUCUCGAGUCGUAGACCCUUCUCAAAACUGGCGUACAGGUUGAACAUAGCAAAAGUGUUGCUGGAAAUUACAUUUUGCAGGGGUUGAAGAAGAUGUAUACAGCAGUAUACAUAUUUUAUACACAGUUUAUACCAUGAUAUUCAGGUAAAAAAUAUACAGGGAAUCCGAAUUCAAAAUCUGGGUUGAUAGCAGUGAAAAUACUCUGCUGAAAAGGGACUUUCAACUUUCGAAAGUUGAAAAACAGGCUGAUAUACAACCUGCAUACACUGGUAUACAGACACGCUAUACCUCAAAUAGGUGUAAAAAAAUGUGAAUUGUAGGUUAACGUACAGGGAGGCCAAAUUCGAGUAAAAUUCAGGAAUAGGCAAUGAGUUCGUGCAUAGGAUACAGCCCGUAUACAUUGGUAUACACAUUUGGGCAGCGAUAUACAGUAUUAAAAUGGUAUAAAAAAAAGUACAGGUACAAAUACGCAGAAAUAAUAUGGGAAAUACAGGUGGAAUAGCGAGAAUGUGUAUUCAAACAAAUACAGGGCUCAAACAGUCCAAAACGUAUUGGAUAUUUACAGUAUACAUCAUUUGUAUACCAUGACACUUUUCAGGAAAUGGGCCAGGGCCCUUCAGCAGAU